rnacentral:rRNA from 1 species
CCUACGGGAGGCAGCAGUGAGGAAUAUUGGUCAAUGGGCGGGAGCCUGAACCAGCCAAGUCGCGUGAGGGAAGACGGUCCUAUGGAUUGUAAACCUCUUUAGGCGGGGAGCAAUGCCGGGCACGUGUGCCCGGAGGGAGAGUACCCGCCGAAUAAGCAUCGGCUAACUCCGUGCCAGCCGCCGCGGUAAUACGGAGGAUGCGAGCGUUAUCCGGAUUUAUUGGGUUUAAAGGGUGCGUAGGCGGAUUUUUAAGUCAGCGGUAAAAUGUCCGGGCUCAACCCGGGCCGGCCGUUGAAACUGGGGAUCUUGAGUGGGCGAGAAGUAUGCGGAAUGCGUGGUGUAGCGGUGAAAUGCAUAGAUAUCACGCAGAACUCCGAUUGCGAAGGCAGCAUACCGGCGCCCGACUGACGCUGAGGCACGAAAGCGUGGGGAUCGAACAGGAUUAGAUACCCCAGUAGUC